rnacentral:piRNA from 1 species
UUAAAGGGAGCAGCAUCAGCUGAUGUUCUGC